rnacentral:sRNA from 1 species
AUCAAGAGUAGGCGGAGGGACCAGCCCGAUGAAGCCCGGCAACCGGCGUGCGAACGCACGGUGCUAAUUCUUGCGGAU